rnacentral:rRNA from 1 species
GACGAACGCUGGCGGCGUGCUUAACACAUGCAAGUCGAACGAGAAUCUACUGAAAGAGUUUUCGGACAAUGGAAGUAGAGGAAAGUGGCGGACGGGUGAGUAACGCGUGAGGAACCUGCCUUGAAGAGGGGGACAACAGUUGGAAACGACUGCUAAUACCGCAUGACGCAUAGAGGUCGCAUGAUCUUUAUGCCAAAGAUUUAUCGCUUCAAGAUGGCCUCGCGUCUGAUUAGCUAGUUGGCGGGGUAACGGCCCACCAAGGCGACGAUCAGUAGCCGGACUGAGAGGUUGAACGGCCACAUUGGGACUGAGAUACGGCCCAGACUCCUACGGGAGGCAGCAGUGGGGAAUAUUGGGCAAUGGGCGCAAGCCUGACCCAGCAACGCCGCGUGAAGGAAGAAGGCUUUCGGGUUGUAAACUUCUUUUAAGAGGGAAGAGCAGAAGACGGUACCUCUAGAAUAAGCCACGGCUAACUACGUG